GUUAGGAAUAUUGGACAAUGGGCGCAAGCCUGAUCCAGCCAUGCCGCGUGAGUGAUGAAGGCCUUCGGGUUGUAAAGCUCUUUAGUCCACGAAUAUAAUGACUGUAGUGGAAGAAUAAGCCCCGGCUAACUUCGUUCCAGCAGCCGCGGUAAUACGAAGGGGGCGAGCGUUAUUCGGAAUCACUGGGCGUAAAGCGUGCGGAGGCUGUUUUGUAAGUCAGAAGUGAAAGCCCAGGGCUUAACCCUGGAAUUGCUUUUGAAACUACAAGACUCGAAUUCGGGAGAGGAUAGCGGAAUUGUCAGUGUAGCAGUGAAAUGCGUAGAUAUUGACAGGAACACCAGUGGCGCAAGCGGCUAUCUGGACCGAUAUUGACGCUGAGGCACGAAAGCGUGGGGAGCAAACAGGAUUAGAAACCCCAGUAGUCC
rnacentral:rRNA from 1 species